AACGAACGCUGGCGGCAGGCUUAACACAUGCAAGUCGAGCACCCCGCAAGGGGAGCGGCAGACGGGUGAGUAACGCGUGGGAAUCUACCCAUCUCUACGGAAUAACGCAUGGAAACGUGUGCUAAUACCGUAUACGUCCUUCGGGAGAAAGAUUUAUCGGAGAUGGAUGAGCCCGCGUUGGAUUAGCUAGUUGGUGGGGUAAAGGCCUACCAAGGCGACGAUCCAUAGCUGGUCUGAGAGGAUGAUCAGCCACACUGGGACUGAGACACGGCCCAGACUCCUACGGGAGGCAGCAGUGGGGAAUAUUGGACAAUGGGCGCAAGCCUGAUCCAGCCAUGCCGCGUGAGUGAUGAAGGCCCUAGGGUUGUAAAGCUCUUUGACCGGUGAAGAUAAUGACGGUAACCGGAGAAGAAGCCCCGGCUAACUUCGUGCCAGCCGCCGCGGUAACAC
rnacentral:rRNA from 1 species